UGUGGUGUGAGUGCUCUGCUGGUCCCA
rnacentral:piRNA from 1 species